UCUCUAAAACCCUAGGGAGCGCCGCUUCUCCUUUCUCGUCCUGUCCGGCUGCAACUCUGUACCAGUGAUGGCCUUUCACCUCGUCAAUGCAUGAGCAGUGCGGCUGGAUGGGAGUUAUUUGGUCGGCUAAUUCAGUCCAGGAGGCAUGAGUCUGGUUCCAGUUUUUGUUCGUGGUUAGUAGGAGUGUUUGGACUGUGGUGGGGAAGGGGAAUGGAGGCGGGUUUGGCUGGGAUCAGAGCCCGAUCGGCGUCGAGGCAUAGUGGAAGCGAUGGGUGUUGGUGGUUGGCUUGGUUGACGCGCUCGAUGGUCUUCCUCGGUCUGCUUGUUGUGCUCCGAUCUAGAGGCUGGCUGGGGGUGGACCAUCGCAAGUUGAGGUCGUCUUGAUGGCGGCAGUGACGGGUCGGUGGUGCUAAUCUGGAGCCGGUGGUGCAGCGGUGGUUGUGGUGACUGGGUGGUCUGAUGGGUCACUUCUUAGGCCGAGAGGGAAGACGGGGCUGCCUUUGUCUGUUGGGUUUGGGUGUAGCCUGAAGGUUCCAUAUUCAGCUGGAGGUUUGGCUAGGGUUUCUUUUCGGCCCUGGUUUUUCUUUUAUGCUUUUCAUUAUUGUUUUAGUUAUUAGUUAGACUACGGUUGCUUGCGGGUCUAAAACAUUUACUUAGUUAUUGGAUUUGACUUUUAAUUAGAGUUUGUUGAUGCUCUAAGGUUGCCUCCUCUGCGUAAGGUGGUCCCGGAAGUAGUCAAAUAAUGAUAGGUAGUGGAUUUGUCCCUUCCUCCUUGUGUCUCGGUGGCUGAUUGCUUGUCCCGUUUGCUACCACGGAAGAUUGAUCAUAACGCUUUAUCCCAUGGUCUUCAGCAUAAAUAUUACUUAGUGUCUACUAGGUAGUUUCGCAAGAUAGCCCCUGUGGGCGGAUUAUGUUUAUGUUGUUAUACUUACUCUCAAAUUGUGAUCAAUAAAAAUUAACGUCAUUAGAUAAAAAAAUAAGGGAAAAUACCCAUUUGCACAUAAUCAAGAAUUUUAAAGCCUAUUUGAAUGAAAAAAGUUUUUCAUAGCCCAUACCAAUGAAAUUUAACAAAAAGACGAUUUUACCCAUUGAAUUUAUAAAUUCUCUCACGUCUCAUUCUCAUCCUUCUCUCUCUCUCUCUCAAACCUAACGUUGACGACGACUGUGUCCUUGUUCUUCGGCACCGACCGCGACGGCAAGAUCAGCAAGGACGAGCAAUCAAAUCCGGCUAUCUCGACGAGUCUCGCAUCAGAUCUGAUCAAGUAGAUCCGGUAAAACCGAGUCCAUGGUGCGACUGGCAAUUUCAAACGAAGGAGCGCGUGAGGGUUACUAGCUAGAAUUGUUGGAGCACCCGUCGGUGUCUACUUGCGGUGGUUUUGAGAUUUGGUUCUUCCGGUGAGAAGAUUCGAAGGUUUGGAAUCCAGAUCGGGUUUUGGUUGCGUCCUCCAACCUCGUCCUAUUGUGGUUAUUUGUUUUGGCCGGGUGUUCUUUUAAUUUUUUGUCAAUUGCUAGGUUUUGGUUGGGUUGUCAGUGCAAAUUAUUAGGGGUAGUAAACUGUGGUGGUAGUGAGGGCGUGACGUCCGCAAAUUGGGAGGUUUUCUCCUUGAUUCUUGAUAGUCAACACUAGUGUUAGGAGACGUGUAUUGUGUAGGUGCAUGCCUUUCAUAAUUUUCAACGGCGUUGUGUAUUCAUAUGAGAUAGGUGUAAAGCUACAAUGUGUUGCUCAUGUGUCAUUUGUGUACAUUAAUAUGCCUUUCACAAUUCCUACCUUUCUUUUCUGUUGGACAUUCUUUGUUUCUUGUAUUUUAAAUGAUUAUUGGCUCACUAAAUUGGGUUAACCAUUUAUUACUGGUGGUCAAUAAUUUAUUAUUAGGAGUCGGUAACAUGUUUAUUACCGGUGGCUCCCGAAGCUAUUCGUUGGUGUGAGGAUUUUUCCUUGCAGUACUCCUUAGCUUGAUUAUUCGUGUUGUAGUUUUGACUGAUUAUUGGCGGCCAAUAACUCGAUUAUGUUUUGGUAUUUCUUCUUUUCUAUUACAAUAAGUUUGAUUAUUGGGGGUCAAUAACCCAGUUAUUGGGGGUCAAUAACUGAUUAUUAGGGGCAGUAACCAAGUUAUGGGUCAGUAACUGAGUUACAGGUGACAGGAAUCCGGCGACUGGAGAAAAUUUGAGUUACUAGGGGUUAGUAAUUGAUUAUUGGGGGUCAGUAACCAAGUUAUUGGGGGUCAGUAACUGAUUACUGGGGGUCAGUAACUGAGUUACCGGUGACCGGAAUCUGCGACCGGAAUCUGACGACUGGAGAAAUCCGGCAACCGGUGACCGUAGUCCGGCGGCCGGUGACCAGAGUCCGACGGCCGGUGACUGGAGUCCGGUGACAUUCCGGCCAAAUAUUCUCUCUUCCAUUUUCUCUCUCUAUGCAUGUUUAAGGGGUGAGGGCAAAAUAGUCUUAAAAUAAUAUAGUUUGUUAAGACUUUAGUAAAGAUUUGUGCAUUUGAGCAUAAAAGAGGUUACCUUAUAUUGAAAUGGGCUAAUGAAAAAGAUUAUCAUUGGAAUGAGGAAUGAGGGGUUUAAAUUAGUACUAAAUGGGCAUUUUCCCAAAAAAUAAAAAUAAAAAACUUCUUUUAUAUGUUUUCUUAAGACUGCUCCCUAACCCAUGUUUGUUACACGGGACACUGUAACCCAGGCUUAAAUUCUAAUAUAGUCUAACACUACUUAAGCCAGGCUUAUUUUUCAAUAAUCCUAACCCAUGUUUAGUGUCACUUAGGACUAAAAAGCAUAAUAACAGUAUACUUCUGACAAUGCAGCCUCUCCAUGCUUCCUAAAACAGCCUCUCCAUCGAAUUUCAUCACCACCUCCUAUUUUCUUUAAAACUGAAUGUGGAAUUGUUGAAAAUAAAGAAAAUUAGAAGGCACAAACAGAGGGCAUAAACAGAUGGUUUUACCAUGCAACAACGCAUUGGCUUUACCAUGAUUGCUUUUGUGUUGUCUGCCAAUUCGCUCACAAUAUCUGUUUCUUGACAUGCUGUAGACCAUGAGUCGGGAUUGAGUCCAAACU
rnacentral:lncRNA from 1 species